UAUUUCCACUUGGUGAAAAUGAACCCUGUUGCUACCCAUUUCACAUCUCAGCUGUUCAAGCCUAUAUGGUACCUGCAGGCCUCCUUACUUCCCCUGCACCACUAAUAACAGGAUUWCCUGCUAUAUCGUUACACUCAACAAAUUGGCCUGGUGGAUCGGUGGUCAAUUAAACCAGCAUCUAUUGAUUGUUCAGUAUUUCCUUGGGAGUCCAUUGGGUCUGUAGCGGUUGGGGUCCCCUCCAUUACGUCCCCAGCGGUUAGCCUSCUGGUCAGCUG